rnacentral:rRNA from 1 species
GAUGAACGCUGGCGGCGUGCCUAAUACAUGCAAGUCGAGCGAACAGACGAGGAGCUUGCUCCUCUGACGUUAGCGGCGGACGGGUGAGUAACACGUGGAUAACCUACAUAUAAGACUGGGAUAACUUCGGGAAACCGGAGCUAAUACCGGAUAAUAUAUUGAACCGUAUGGUUCAAUAGUGAAAGACGGUUUUGCUGUCACUUAUAGAUGGAUCCCCGCCGGAUUAGCUAGUUGGUAAGGAAACGGAUUACCAAGGCAACGAUGCGUAGCCGACCUGGGAAGGUUAGGGAGCAGACUGGAACGGAGACACGGUCCAGAGGCCAACGAGAGGCAGCAGUAGGGAAUCCUCCGCGAAGGGGGAAAGCAUGACGGAGCAACGCCGCAUGAGUGAUGAAGGUCUUCGGAUCGUAAAACUCUGUUAUUAGGGUAGAACAAAUGUGUAAGUAACUAUGCACGUCUUGACGGUACCUGAUCAGAAAGCCACGGCUAACUACGUG